rnacentral:rRNA from 1 species
ACAUCCAGAGAACUUAGCAGAGAUUGCUUUGGUGCCUUCGGGAACUCUGAGACAGGUGCUGCAUGGCUGUCGUCAGCUCGUGUUGUGAAAUGUUGGGUUAAGUCCCGNAACGAGCGCAACCCUUAUCCUUUGUUGCCAGCGGUUCGGCCGGGAACUCAAAGGAGACUGCCGGUGAUAAACCGGAGGAAGGUGGGGAUGACGUCAAGUCAUCAUGGCCCUUACGGCCAGGGCUACACACGUGCUACAAUGGCGCAUACAAAGAGAAGCGACCUCGCGAGAGCAAGCGGACCUCAUAAAGUGCGUCGUAGUCCGGAUUGGAGUCUGCAACUCGACUCCAUGAAGUCGGAAUCGCUAGUAAUCGUAGAUCAGAAUGCUACGGUGAAUACGUUCCCGGGCCUUGUACACACCGCCCGUCACACCAUGGGAGUGGGUUGCAAAAGAAGUAGGUAGCUUAACCUUCGGGAGGGCGCUUACCACUUUGUGAUUCAUGACUGGGGUGAAGUCGUAACAAGGUAAGCGUAGCGAG